CUCGCCUACGGGACGCAGCAGUGAGGAAUAUUGGGCAAUGGACGCAAGCCUGACCCAGCAACGCCGCGUGAAGGAAGAAGGCUUUCGGGUUGUAAACUUCUUUUAAGAGGGAAGAGUAGAAGACGGUACCUCUUGAAUAAGCCACGGCUAACUACGUGCCAGCAGCCGCGGUAAUACGUAGGUGGCAAGCGUUGUCCGGAUUUACUGGGUGUAAAGGGCGUGUAGCCGGGCCGGCAAGUCAGAUGUGAAAUCGCAAGGCUCAA
rnacentral:rRNA from 1 species